rnacentral:rRNA from 1 species
CGAACGAUGAUCCCUGGCUUGCUGGGGGGAUUAGUGGCGAACGGGUGAGUAACACGUGAGUAACCUGCCCUUGACUCUGGGAUAAGCCUGGGAAACUGGGUCUAAUACCGGAUACGACCAUCUGGCGCAUGUCAUGGUGGUGGAAAGCUUUUGUGGUUUUGGAUGGACUCGCGGCCUAUCAGCUUGUUGGUGGGGUAAUGGCCUACCAAGGCGACGACGGGUAGCCGGCCUGAGAGGGUGACCGGCCACACUGGGACUGAGACACGGCCCAGACUCCUACGGGAGGCAGCAGUGGGGAAUAUUGCACAAUGGGCGCAAGCCUGAUGCAGCGACGCCGCGUGAGGGAUGACGGCCUUCGGGUUGUAAACCUCUUUCAGUAGGGAAGAAGCGAAAGUGACGGUACCUGCAGAAGAAGCGCCGGCUAACUACGUGCCAGCAGCCGCGGUAAUACGUAGGGCGCAAGCGUUAUCCGGAAUUAUUGGGCGUAAAGAGCUCGUAGGCGGUUUGUCGCGUCUGCUGUGAAAGACCGGGGCUCAACUCCGGUUCUGCAGUGGGUACGGGCAGACUAGAGUGCAGUAGGGGAGACUGGAAUUCCUGGUGUAGCGGUGAAAUGCGCAGAUAUCAGGAGGAACACCGAUGGCGAAGGCAGGUCUCUGGGCUGUAACUGACGCUGAGGAGCGAAAGCAUG